rnacentral:rRNA from 1 species
CCUACGGGAGGCAGCAGUAGGGAAUAUUGCUCAAUGGGGGAAACCCUGACCCAGCAACGCCGCGUGAAGGAAGAAGGCUUUCGGGUUGUAAACUUCUUUUAAGGGGGAAGAGCAGAAGACGGUACCCCUUGAAUAAGCCACGGCUAACUACGUGCCAGCAGCCGCGGUAAUACGUAGGUGGCAAGCGUUAUCCGGAUUUACUGGGUGUAAAGGGCGUGCAGCCGGAGAGACAAGUCAGAUGUGAAAUCCACGGGCGCAACCCUGGAACUGCAUUUGAAACUGUUUCCCUUGAGUGUCGGAGAGGCAACCGAAAUUCGUUGUGUAGCGGUGAAAUGCGUAGAUAGAAGGAAGAACCCCGGUGGCGAAGGCGGAUUACUGGAGGAUAACUGACGGUGAGGCGCGAAAGCGUGGGGAGCAAACAGGAUUAGAUACCCGGGUAGUC